UCUUUCUCUUUCUCUUUCUCUUUCUCUCCAUUUCAGUCUCUGUUUCUGUGUCCUUUGUUGUGGCUCCAUUCUCUUCACGUUGCUCUCAUUCAAGUCCUUCUCAGGCUUCUGAAUUUCGAGUUACAUGUAAAAAAAUAAGUAGAAUUGGGUGUGAAUUGAGGAGGAUGUGGUUGGGGUGUUGGGUGUAGCUGGAUGGAGGGAGGAGUAACUGCGACAUUUGCAUUUCAAUCUUCCAAGAGGCAUCCUGCCAGUAGCAUAUACUGGCGUUUUGUGUGCAAAUGUCAAAGUCUCCCUCUCCUGAGAAGCACCAGUCCGUUUAUUCUUCUUCUGAGCCUAGGGAGUUUAUUAUGGCUACAGAAAUAGAGGAUCCCGAGUCUACUAUGUCAACAGUUGCUAAGCUUGUGGAGCAACUGCAUGCCAAGUUGUCAUCAGCACAAGAGAAGGAACUUAUCACAACACGAUUGCUAGGUAUUGCCAGGAGAAGAAAGGAUGGCAGGGCACUUAUUGGCACUCAUUCUCAAGCGAUGCCAUUGUUCAUAAACAUUCUUAGAAAUGGAACCUCUCUUGCGAAAGUUAAUGUUGCUACUAUUCUCAGUGUACUGUGCAAAGAUGAAGACUUGAGGUUAAAAGUUCUUCUUGGUGGUUGUGUCCCACCAUUGCUGUCAAUUUUAAAAUAUGAAUCAACUGAUGCAAGAAAGGCGGCAGCUGAAGCAAUAUAUCAAGUUUCCAUUGGAGGUCUGUCAGAAGAUAAUGUUGGUAUGAAAAUUUUUGUUACAGAAGAUGUAGUUCCAACGUUGUGGAAUCUACUAAGUCCUAAGAACAAGCAAGACAAAAUUGUUGAGGGUUUUAUUACUGGAGCAUUAAGAAAUUUGUGUGGUGAUAAGGAUGGCUACUGGAAUGCAACAUUAGAAGCUGGAGGUAUUGAAAUCAUUGUGGAUCUCUUGUCUUCAGACAAUGCUGUUUCUCAGUCAAAUGCAGCUUCUCUGUUGGCUCGUCUAAUGUCGGCUUUCAGUGGUAGCAUCCCAAAAGUAAUAGACUCUGGAGCAGUUAAAGCUUUAGUUCGACUUGUAGGGGAGGAAAACAAUAUUUCUGUUCGAGCUGGUGCUGCUGAUGCUCUAGAGGCCCUUUCUUCAAAGUCAACCAAUGCGAAGAAAGCUAUUGUUGAUUCUGAUGGUGUUCAAAUCCUUAUUGGAGCCAUAGUUGCUCCUUCAAAAGAAUGUAUGCAAUCUGAUGGUGGCCAGGCUCUUCAAGGGCAUGCAACACGAGCUCUAGCCAAUUUAUGUGGUGGCAUGCCUGCAUUAAUAAUAUAUCUUGCAGAACUUUCCUGUUCUCCUCGUUUGACAGCUCCAGUUGGUGAUAUAAUAGGCGCUCUUGCUUACACCCUUAUGGUCUUUGAGGAAAAAGUUGAUGAUGAUCAGGAUCAUUUUGAUGCAACUAAGAUAGAGGAUACUUUAGUAACUCUUUUAAAGCCUCGAGAUAACAAGCUUAUUCAAGAGCGUGUCCUUGAGGCCAUGGCUAGCCUAUAUGGUAAUGUCUAUCUCUCGAAGUUUCUCAAUCAAGCAGAUUCAAAGAAGGUUCUCGUUGGGCUUAUAACUAUGGCUGCCAUUGAUGUGCAAGGAUAUUUGAUACGUUCACUGACAAGCUUGUGCUGUGACAGGGUAGGAAUAUGGGAGGCGAUAAAAAAAAGAGAAGGCAUUCAGUUACUUAUAUCUAUGCUGGGAUUAUCUAGUGAGCAGCAUCAAGAGUACUCGGUUGAACUGCUAGCAAUCUUAACUGACCAAGUUGAGGACAGCAAGUGGGCAAUCACUGCUGCUGGAGGGAUUCCACCAUUGGUGCAGUUGCUGGAGACAGGAUCACAAAAAGCAAGAGAGGAAGCAGCUCAUGUUCUUUGGAGUUUGUGUUGUCACAGUGAAGACAUCCGUGCUUGCGUUGAAAUUGCUGGGGCCAUUCCAGCAUUUCUGUGGCUUCUUAAGAGUGGUGGGCCAAAAGGACAAGAAGCUUCUGCUUUGGCACUGAUGAAGCUUGUCAGAGUUGCUGAUUCUGCAACGAUAAAUCAGCUAUUAGCAAUGCUCCUAGGAGAUUCUCCAACCUCAAAGGGCCAUAUAAUCCAAGUUUUAGGUCAUGUACUUACUGUGGUUUCACAGAAAGAUCUUGUGGAAAAGGGAUGUGCAGCAAAUAAAGGCCUAAGAUGUCUUGUUCAGGUUAUCAAUGCAUCAAAUGAGGAAACCCAAGAAUUUGCAACUUCAGCGAUAGCUAAUUUAUUUACCACAAGACAAGACAUUUGUGAUGGUCUAGUAAAUGAAGACCUUGUGCUUCCUUUAAUGAAGCUUCUGACUAACAAAAAUCAAGGUGUGGCCAUUCAAUCAGCUCGAGCAUUAAGUUCUCUAUCACGUCCAACCAAUAGCAAAGCUGCAAAUAAGUUGUCUUAUAUAGUACUUGAAGGAGAUGUUCAGCCACUAAUUAAGUUGGCUAAAACAUGCUGUGUGGAUGCUGCAGAAACUUCUGUUGCUGCUUCUGAAUCCGCUGUUGCUGCAUUGGCCAACCUUCUUUUUGAUCCUUAUAUUGCUGCCGAGGCCCUGGCUGAAGAUGUUGUUCCAGCUUUAACAAGAAUUCUGGAGAAAGGAACCUUGGAAGGUAAACAAAAUGCAUCACGAGCUCUUCAUGAAUUAUUGAAGCAUUUUUCAGUAGGAGAUCUUCUUAAGGGAGACGAACAGUGCCGUUUAACUUUGCUAGCCCUUGUUGAUUCGUUAAGAUCUAUGCAUAUAGAUGAGACUGAAGCUGCAGAUGCUUUAGAUGUGAUUGCAUUGCUAGCUAGGACAAAACAUGAUGUCAGCCUCACUUAUCCUCCAUUGUUGGUUCUGGCUGAUAAAUCUUGCUUAGAACCCCUUGUCUGCUGCCUUGCUGAUGGUCCACCCAUUGUGCAAGACAAGGCAAUUGAAAUUUUGUCCAGACUUUGUGGAGAUCAGCCAGUUGUUCUUGGUGACUUGUUGUCUUCUAGUUCCAGAUGCACUGGAUCAUUAGCUCAUAGAAUAAUUAACUCUGCUAGUUUAGAAGUAAAAGUUGGAGCAGCUGCCUUACUAAUUUGCGCUGCAAAGGAUAAGAAAGAGCUCUCAAUGGAUUUGCUUGACACUUCUGGAUAUCAAAAACCAUUGAUUUACUCCUUAGUUGACAUGAUGAAGCAAAGUUCUAAUUGUUCAUUGUUAGAAAUCGAAGUUUGCACCCCUAGAGGUUUUAUGGAGAAGAAUGCAUUUCCAGAAGUUGAUGAGUCAGAAAUUCCUGAUGCAGCCACAGUCUUGGGUGGUACUGUUGCCUUGUGGUUACUCUCAAUUAUUGCUUCUGUUCAGGUAACAAACAAAUUAAUAAUUUUGGAAGCUGGUGGACUGGAAAUUCUCUCUGAGAAACUUGCAAGACAUGUCUCAAAUCCACAGGCACAAUAUGAGGAUACUGAAGAAAUAUGGAUCAGCGCAUUACUCUUGGCCAUUUUAUUUCAAGAUACAAAGGUCAUUCAAUCUCCUGCAACAAUGUGCACUGUACCUUCUCUGAGUCUACUUCUAACAUCUGAGGAAGUAAUUGACAAAUAUUUUGCUGCCCAAGCUAUGGCAAGUCUUGUUCAAAAUGGUGAUAAGGGAAUAGGUCUUGCCAUUGCAAAUUCUGGUGCUGUCCCAGGAUUGAUAACUAUGAUUGGGCAUAUAGAAACAGAUAUGCCAAAUCUCAUGGCUUUAUCAGAUGAGUUUUCCUUGGUGCGAACUCCAGAUCAAGUUGUUUUGGAUCAUCUAUUUGAAAUUGAGGAUGUAAGACUGGGAUCUGUUGCACGGAAAUCUAUACCUCUUUUAGUAGAUCUCUUGAAACCAAUACCAGAAAGGCCUGGUGCUCCAGCAGCUGCCCUUAGACUCUUGAUUUCCCUUGCAGAUGGGAGUGAUACAAAUAAAUUAAUCCUUGCUGAAGCUGGAGCUCUGGAGGCUUUGAACAAAUACCUGUCCUUGAGCCCUCAAGACACUACUGAGGCUACUAUUUCUGACUUACUGAGAAUAUUAUAUUGCAAUUCUGACCUAAUUAAUCAUGAAGCAUCGACAAAUUCACUGAACCAACUCAUAGCUGUUUUGCGUCUUGGUUCAAGAAAUUCUAGAUAUAGUGCAGCUAGAGCACUCCAUGAACUCUUUGAUUCUCUGAAUAUUAGAGACUCAGAAUUAGCUAAACAGGCCGUUCAUCCAUUGGUUGACAUGCUGAAUAAUACAUCAGGAAGUGAGCAGGAGGCUGCUUUAAUGGCCUUGGUCAAGUUAAUGUCAGGAAAUUCUUCAAAAGCAUCUCUGUUUACAGAUGUGGAAGGCAACCCACUUGAAAGUUUACACAAAAUAUUGUCCUCCGCUUCAUCCUUGGAGUUGAAGAAUUAUGCUGCGCAACUCUGCUUUGUACUGUUUGGUAAUAGUAAGAUCAGAGCAGAACGAAUUGCCUCAGAAUGCAUAGAACCCCUUAUAUCACUGAUGCAGUCUGAUUCUGAGAGUGCAAUAGAGUCUGGGGUUUGUGCUUUUGACAGAUUGUUAGAAGAUGAACAUCAGGUAGAGCUUGCAGCAGCCUGUAACAUCGUGGAUUUCCUUGUCAGCUUGGUUUCUGGUACAAACUAUCAGCUUAUUGAGGCAACCAUAUCUGUUCUCCUCAGAUUGGGCAAAGAUAGGACUCCAACCAAAUUAGACAUGGUCAAAUCUGGAAUUAUUAAUAACUGUCUCAAGCUACUACCAUUAGCACCUAGCUCAUUAUGCUCUACUAUAGCUGAGCUGUUUCGCAUCUUAACAAAUAGUAAUGCAAUUGCCAGAAGUUCAGAGGCUGCAAAAAUUGUAGAACCCCUUUUCCAUGUUUUGCUAUGUCGAGAUUUCAACUUAUGGGGACAGCAUAGUGCCUUACAAGCACUUGUAAACAUAUUGGAAAAGCCACAAAGUCUUGCAACUUUAAAGCUUACACCUAGUGAAGUUAUUGAACCCUUGAUUUCUUUUCUGGAAUCCCCAUCCCAAGCUAUUCAGCAACUUGGCACAGAACUCUUAGCUCAUAUUCUUGCACAGGAGCAUUUUCAACAGGAUAUUUCAACAAAAAAUGCAGUUCCACCUCUUGUACAGCUUGCAGGAAUUGGAAUAUUGAACUUGCAACAAACAGCAAUAAAAGCAUUGGAAAAACUUUCUAAAACCUGGCCAAAGGCAGUUGCUGAUGCCGGAGGUAUUUUUGAGCUUGCAAAGGUUAUUAUUCAAGAUGAUCCUCAACCGCCACAUGCACUCUGGGAAUCAGCUGCUUUAGUUCUCUCUAAUAUAUUAUAUUCUGAUGCGGAUUACUAUUUCAAAGUUCCUGUGGCGGUUCUUGUAAAACUGUUAAACUCAAAAGUUGAGAAUACAGUUAGCAUAGCCCUUAACGCAUUAGUAGUUCAUGACACAAGUGAUGCUUCAAGUGCUGAACAGAUGGUGGAAGCUGGAGCUAUAGAUGCUCUGCUGGACCUUCUAAGAUCUCAUAAUUGUGAAGAAGCAUCUGGUAGAUUACUCGAAGCUUUAUUCAACAAUGUGAAUGUACGAGAGAUGAAGAUGUCGAGGUAUGCUAUAGCACCAUUAUCACAGUAUCUAUUAGAUCCGCGUACCAAAUCAGAGCCUGGCAAGCUUCUUGCUGCUUUAGCUCUAGGAGAUCUUUCACAGUACGAGGGACAUGCUAGAGCUAGUGACUCAGUUUCUGCAUGCCGUGCAUUGAUAAGUUUACUUGAAGAUCAGCCAACUGAAGAAAUGAAGAUGGUGGCUAUAUGUGCAUUGCAGAACUUCGUCAUGAACAGCAGGACCAACAGAAGAGCUGUUGCAGAAGCUGGGGGCAUAUUGGUGAUUCAGGAAUUGCUGCUGUCUCCAAAUACAGAAGUUGCUGCACAAGCAGCAUUGCUGAUCAAAUUUUUGUUCUCUACCCACACUCUACAAGAAUAUGUGUCAAAUGAGCUAAUAAGGUCUUUGACAGCUUCAUUGGAAAGAGAGUUGUGGUCAACUGCCACAAUCAAUGAAGAGGUUUUGAAAACACUGCAUGUGAUAUUCAUGAACUUCCCUAAGCUCCAUGUGUCCGAAGCUGCAACAGUUUGUAUUCCUCAUUUGGUAGGAGCUCUUAAAUCUGGCGGUGAAGCAGCUCAGGACUCCGUACUUGAUACCUUUUGCUUGCUGAAACAAUCUUGGUCAACUAUGCCAAUAGAUAUUGCAAAGUCUCAGGCUAUAGUUGCUGCUGAAGCGAUCCCCAUCUUGCAAAUGCUCAUGAAAACCUGCCCACCAAGCUUCCAUGAGAGGGCAGAUUCUCUUCUGCACUGCUUACCAGGUUGUUUGACUGUCAUCAUUAAGCGUGGAAAUAACCUCAAGCAAACUAUGGGAGGUACAUGUGCAUUUUGCAGGUUGACAAUAGGCAAUGGUCCUCCAAACCAAACCAAGAUGGUUCAUGGUACUUCUCCAGAAUGGAAAGAAGGAUUCACGUGGGCAUUUGAUGUGCCUCCAAAGGGCCAAAAACUUCAUAUUGUAUGCAAAAGCAAGAAUACUUUUGGGAAGCGUGGAUAACAGAGAUUCAGAGGACAUCAACGAAUGGCAAGAAACAGAGCAAGUCUUGGAUGGGGAAUGGUGAUGGUUUUUAAGAACUAAAUUCAGGUUCUCGUCGACCAAUCAUCUUCCACUGACCACCCUCCAAUAAUUCGACAUCAACAAGCAUAGUUGUAUGAAACAGUUUCAAUGGCGUCGUCGGAGGACGAGGACAGAGCUUUGUCGCUGUUGUCUGUUGAAGGUGAUACGGAUGUGACCGCGGAAGCGCCUGCACAAUCGGAUUGGAGGAUUAGGGUUGCAAAAGAAGGAAGCUAUUGAAGUUGCGGUUAGCAGCAGCUGAAGAGGGAAGAUGAGGCUCAGUGAUGGUGAAAGAGGGAGGAGGAGGAAGAUGAACCGCAGAAAAGAAAAACAAUCAUGUUGAAAUAAUAUUUCUAAACUGCCACCGUGUUUUCAGUUCAGUAAUGGACAACUCUCGGAAGAGUCACUAUCCAAAUCGAUAAAGUUGUGACUGAAGGAGUUUAUAGCGGAAUAUUCAGUCUUAAUCAUCAUGAUGGCAAUAAAGACGGUUCAUCCCGAACUCUUGAAAUUGAGGUUAUGUGGUCCAAUAGGAUUUCUGAUGAAGAUAUUUAAAGGAUCGCAGGUUGCUUUUCUGUUUAGAAGCUCGAAAAAUUGAUAAGGUGCCGCGGAUGUAUGUUUUUGCCUGUAAUUAUUACAUAUUUGAUAAGGCCCAGUUUUGUAGUUUGGCAGACGAAGUUUAUUCAGUUUAGUGUAAAUUUUAUCAUAAAUGUCCAGAGGCAGGUGUUCGAAAUGGAAUCUCCCACGGUCAAGGAAAAUCAAAAGAUGGUUAGAAAUGUACAGGUCAAUCCAUAGGAUUUAGAAACAUGAAUCAUACGAAGAACUUGCAUAUUUAAAUUGAAUUUGUCCAAAGCAUAUAUCGUUUCUUUUCGCUUUUCCCCUCCCUAUAGCCGCUGAUAUUGGGAUGUACACAGCUUCUGUAAAGUGGCUGUUAGUUUGUUUUAUGCCGCCAAAGGAUGAUAACCUAACCAGAAAUUCCGUGGUCUGCCUAGUACAAUUUCCUUUUCUGUAAUUUAUUGCAACCUUU